GGAUAACUCCGGGAAACCGGGGCUAAUACCGGAUGCUUGUUUGAACCGCAUGGUUCAGACAUAAAAGGUGGCUUCGGCUACCACUUACAGAUGGACCCGCGGCGCAUUAGCUAGUUGGUGAGGUAACGGCUCACCAAGGCGACGAUGCGUAGCCGACCUGAGAGGGUGAUCGGCCACACUGGGACUGAGACACGGCCCAGACUCCUACGGGAGGCAGCAGUAGGGAAUCUUCCGCAAUGGACGAAAGUCUGACGGAGCAACGCCGCGUGAGUGAUGAAGGUUUUCGGAUCGUAAAGCUCUGUUGUUAGGGAAGAACAAGUGCCGUUCAAAUAGGGCGGCACCUUGACGGUACCUAACCAGAAAGCCACGGCUAACUACGUGCCAGCAGCCGCGGUAAUACGUAGGUGGCAAGCGUUGUCCGGAAUUAUUGGGCGUAAAGGGCUCGCAGGCGGUUUCUUAAGUCUGAUGUGAAAGCCCCCGGCUCAACCGGGGAGGGUCAUUGGAAACUGGGGAACUUGAGUGCAGAAGAGGAGAGUGGAAUUCCACGUGUAGCGGUGAAAUGCGUAGAGAUGUGGAGGAACACCAGUGGCGAAGGCGACUCUCUGGUCUGUAACUGACGCUGAGGAGCGAAAGCGUGGGGAGCGAACAGGAUUAGAUACCCUGGUAGUCCACGCCGUAAACGAUGAGUGCUAAGUGUUAGGGGGUUUCCGCCCCUUAGUGCUGCAGCUAACGCAUUAAGCACUCCGCCUGGGGAGUACGGUCGCAAGACUGAAACUCAAAGGAAUUGACGGGGGCCCGCACAAGCGGUGGAGCAUGUGGUUUAAUUCGAAGCAACGCGAAGAACCUUACCAGGUCUUGACAUCCUCUGACAAUCCUAGAGAUAGGACGUCCCCUUCGGGGGCAGAGUGACAGGUGGUGCAUGGUUGUCGUCAGCUCGUGUCGUGAGAUGUUGGGUUAAGUCCCGCAACGAGCGCAACCCUUGAUCUUAGUUGCCAGCAUUCAGUUGGGCACUCUAAGGUGACUGCCGGUGACAAACCGGAGGAAGGUGGGGAUGACGUCAAAUCAUCAUGCCCCUUAUGACCUGGGCUACACACGUGCUACAAUGGGCAGAACAAAGGGCAGCGAAACCGCGAGGUUAAGCCAAUCCCACAAAUCUGUUCUCAGUUCG
rnacentral:rRNA from 1 species